rnacentral:rRNA from 1 species
AUUGAACGCUGGCGGCAUGCCUUACACAUGCAAGUCGAACGGUAGAGGGGCAACCCUCGAGAGUGGCGAACGGGUGAGUAACGCAUCGGAACGUGCCCGAUAGUGGGGGAUAGCCCGGCGAAAGCCGGAUUAAUACCGCAUACGACCUACGGGUGAAAGCGGGGGACCGAAAGGCCUCGCGCUAACGGAGCGGCCGAUGUCAGAUUAGGUAGUUGGUGGGGUAAAAGCCUACCAAGCCAACGAUCUGUAGCUGGUCUGAGAGGACGACCAGCCACACUGGGACUGAGACACGGCCCAGACUCCUACGGGAGGCAGCAGUGGGGAAUUUUGGACAAUGGGGGAAACCCUGAUCCAGCCAUGCCGCGUGCGGGAAGAAGGCCUUCGGGUUGUAAACCGCUUUUGUCGGGGAAGAAAUCUCUUAAGCUAACACCUUGAGGGGAUGACGGUACCCGAAGAAUAAGCACCGGCUAACUACGUG